rnacentral:rRNA from 1 species
GACGAACGCUGGCGGCGUGCUUAACACAUGCAAGUCGAACGAAGUGGCGAACGGGUGAGUAAUACGUGAGUAACCGGCCCUCCUUUUUGGGAUAAGCAUUGGAAACGGGGUCUAAUACCGAAUAACGGGGGAAGGGCGCGCGGCCUAUAAGCUGGUUGGUGGGGUGAUGGCCGAGCAGGGCGGUGACGGGUAGCCGGCCUGGGAGGGUGACCGGCAACAUGGGGACCGAGAUACGGCCCAGACUGCUACGGGAGGCGGCAGUGGGGGACAUUGCACAAUGGGCGAAUGCAGUAUGGAGCUACGCCGCGUGGGGGAUGAAGGCUUUCGGGUUGUAAACCUCUGUCGCUAUCGACCGGGUAGGUGGAGAAGAAGCGCCGGCUAACUACGUGCCAGCAGCCGCGGUAAUUC